rnacentral:rRNA from 1 species
UACGAAGGGGGCUAGCGUUGUUCGGAAUUACUGGGCGUAAAGCGCAUGUAGGCGGAUCCAUAAGUCGGGCGUGAAAUCCCCAGGCUCAACCUGGGAACUGCGUUCGAAACUGUGGGUCUAGAGUGUCGGAGAGGAUGGCGGAAUUCCUGGUGUAGAGGUGAAAUUCGUAGAUAUCAGGAGGAACACCGGUGGCGAAGGCGGCCAUCUGGACGACAACUGACGCUGAGAUGCGAAAGCGUGGGGAGCAAACAGG